rnacentral:lncRNA from 1 species
UUUCUCCUAAGUCAAAUUUCAAGUCCAACAUGUAUAAUAUAAACAUUCAUUUCAGCAUGCUUUUAUAUUCAUAUUACAUCCAAAAUGCUAAUCGAUGAAUUAAAGCAUGAUAUACAAAAAUCGAACUAUACACGUCGACUAAACAUGCACUUAGGAGCGAAACCGAUGAUACACCCACCUCUAAUGCAAUUCCUGGCAGCAAGAGGGUCUCGGAUCUUCAAGCAACACUGCUGGAAACCCCUCCAAACCAGCAACAAAGCCCCUUAAGAUCUGGAUUUACAAUUCACCCAAAAAUCCAAUAAAAAUCAUCAAAUAGCCAAAAUUUCAGCACUUAAGCUAAUUCAUCUCAACUCCAAUGUCAAAACUCACCUAAUGAUCUCCAAAUCAGGUGAGGACAGUUCCAAAUCCAGCAAAUACUGAGGGGUGAUCAGUCUCAGGACUAAAAUCCCACUGCCUACAAAGUUAGCAUCAAGAAAAGCUCAAAAAUC